GACGAACGCUGGCGGCGUGCUUAACACAUGCAAGUCGAACGGAGUGGCGAACGGGCGAGUAACACGCGGGUGAUCUGCCCUGCACUCCGGGAUAAGCCUGGGUAACUGGGUCCAAUACCGGACAGUGUGGGAUGGGGCCGCGGCAUCUCAGCUUGUUGGUGAGGGAAAGGCUUACCAAGGCGGCGACGGGUAGCCGGCCUGAGAGGGUGGACGGGCACAUUGGUACUGGGGAGCGGCCCGGACGGAUACUGGAGGAAGGAGUGGAAAGUAGUGCGCGAUAGGCGGAAGCCUGGUGCAGCGACGCCGCGUUGGGAAUGACUGCCAUCGGGUUGUAAACUCCUUUCGCCGUCGACGCGGUAGAUGGAGAAGAAGCACCGGCUAACUACGUGCCAGCAGCCGCGGUAAUUC
rnacentral:rRNA from 1 species